UGCGGCGCGCUGAGCAGGAAUGGCAAUGUGGACCUCUGAUGGAACAUCUGGUGGGAUCUCACAGUCAGUUCUGUGGCAAAGGAGGAUGAAGACUUAAAGAGGACUCAACAGGAAGCUGGAUAACAGAAAGAGAGCAAUGUAAGCAGUUUUUUGUGUGCAUGUGGUCCCAUUACAAGGAAUACUCAAUGGCAAGUGAGCACUAAAGAUCCCUCAACCCACACGUUGAAUGUAGAGUUCCCUGAAAGCAAUUGUAGAGGAGUGGGUGGGAGAUCUGAAGUCAGGGCAUUGCUUCUUCUAGGUAUCUGAGGAGGAUGGUUUUUGAUAUCUGUGGGAGCUAGUGGUCCAACACAGGGUUUAUAAUUGUCAUUUAGGUCACAUUUGGUGGACUCUGGUUCCCCCAUCUUAAGUGCUGAGUCAGCGGCCUAACAGGGCAGCUUUAACUGUUUGUUUGUUGUAGGUGCUAGAAUAGAAGACCAGAAAAUGAAAGAUAUGAAAAAAAGGUGGAGUUUAAGGCUGGAUAUACAGCUUGAAAAUUACUGUGAUUGCAUGCUUGUUCAUUGGCUGGCUUGCUUGGGUACAAAUGAUGGUUUGAAUAAAGAAAGGUAUGAACGCAUGGGUCACUUCAAGUGAAGGCACUGCAAACACAAUGAUCAGUCAUUCUGGAUUUCUGGUCCUUCUGAAUUUUAAAGGCUGCGGUGACAAGUGGACAUGCAGUGACUACCUUUUGUACCUUCCUGUUUCUGAGGUGCCUGGAUGGAGGUUCAAAUAGAAGAUAGUGUCAGAUAUACAUUGUGUUGUCAAAAUUUUACCAUUAAAGUGCAUUACAACAUGAA
ensembl:processed_transcript uncharacterized LOC110297540